rnacentral:lncRNA from 1 species
AAUAAACACUCUUUGCCUUUGCAUACUAUUUGAGUCUAAGGCCUCUUUCAGUGUUUCCUUGGACUUUACUAAGCUCAACAGCAUCAAAAGACAUGCUAUAGUGCAUGGGGAAAAGCCCAGAGGCUUCAAUCCCACCUAGGGAACUACAGAUCCUGGAAAACCUGAAUGGGAUACAGAUCCUGGAUACAGCUGUGUACCACCUGGGAUACAGAUCCUGCACAAAGGUGUGUACUAAUUGCCUGGAUACAGAUCCUGGGAUACAGAUCCUAGUAUACCACCUGCCAGGGAUACAGAUAAUGGACUCCCUGCCUGGAUACAAAUCCUGUCCUACCUGCCUGAGAUACACAUCCUGGAUACAGGUGUGUAUCACCUGCCUGGGUUACAGAUCCUGGACAUAGGUGUGUACUACCUGUCUGGGAUACAGAGGCUGGAUACAGGUGUGUACUCCCUGCCUUGGAUACAGAUCCUGGACUCCCUGCCAGGGAUACAGAUCCUGGAUAAAGAUCCUGGACACAGGUGUGUACUACAUGCUUGGGAUACAGAUCUUGGACUCCCUGCCUGGGACACAGAUCCUGGUUACAGAUAUGAACACAGGUGUGUACUACCUGCCUGGGAUACAGAUCCUGCACUCUGCCUGAAAUACAGAUCCUGGACAAAGGUGUGUGCUACCUGCCUGGGUUACAGAUAAACAAGAAGGCCUCAUCAAACAUGUGGAUAGGAUAAGUAUUUAAAGACAGAGAAAUAUGAAUUAUACACAUUUGCUGAGCACACACAUAUACCUAUUAGGAACCAUUGCACU